rnacentral:rRNA from 1 species
GGGUUGUGAGGUUAAGCGACUAAGCGUACACGGUGGAUGCCCUGGCAGUCAGAGGCGAUGAAGGACGUGCUAAUCUGCGAAAAGCGUCGGUAAGGUGAUAUGAACCGUUAUAACCGGCGAUGUCCGAAUGGGGAAACCCAGUGCAAUUCGUUGCACUAUCGUUAACUGAAUACAUAGGUUAACGAGGCGAACCGGGGGAACUGAAACAUCUAAGUACCCCGAGGAAAAGAAAUCAACCGAGAUUCCCCCAGUAGCGGCGAGCGAACGGGGAGCAGCCCAGAGUCUGAAUCAGCUUGUGUGUUAGUGGAACGGUCUGGAAAGUCCGACGGUACAGGGUGAUAGUCCCGUACACCAAAAUGCACAGGUUGUGAACUCGAAGAGUAGGGCGGGACACGUGGUAUCCUGUCUGAAUAUGGGGGGACCAUCCUCCAAGGCUAAAUACUCCUGACUGACCGAUAGUGAACCAGUACCGUGAGGGAAAGGCGAAAAGAACCCCGGCGAGGGGAGUGAAAAAGAACCUGAAACCGUGUACGUACAAGCAGUGGGAGCACCUUCGGGUGUGACUGCGUACCUUUUGUAUAAUGGGUCAGCGACUUAUAUUCUGUAGCAAGGUUAACCGUAUAGGGGAGCCGCAGGGAAACCGAGUCUUAACUGGGCGUUAAGUUGCAGGGUAUAGACCCGAAACCCGGUGAUCUAGCCAUGGGCAGGUUGAAGGUUGGGUAACACUAACUGGAGGACCGAACCGACUAAUGUUGAAAAAUUAGCGGAUGACUUGUGGCUGGGGGUGAAAGGCCAAUCAAACCGGGAGAUAGCUGGUUCUCCCCGAAAGCUAUUUAGGUAGCGCCUCGUGAACUCAUCUUCGGGGGUAGAGCACUGUUUCGGCUAGGGGGUCAUCCCGACUUACCAACCCGAUGCAAACUACGAAUACCGAAGAAUGUUAUCACGGGAGACACACGGCGGGUGCUAACGUCCGUCGUGAAGAGGGAAACAACCCAGACCGCCAGCUAAGGUCCCAAAGUCAUGGUUAAGUGGGAAACGAUGUGGGAAGGCACAGACAGCCAGGAUGUUGGCUUAGAAGCAGCCAUCAUUUAAAGAAAGCGUAAUAGCUCACUGGUCGAGUCGGCCUGCGCGGAAGAUGUAACGGGGCUAAACCAUGCACCGAAGCUGCGGCAGCGACACUAUGUGUUGUUGGGUAGGGGAGCGUUCUGUAAGCCUGCGAAGGUGUGCUGUGAGGCAUGCUGGAGGUAUCAGAAGUGCGAAUGCUGACAUAAGUAACGAUAAAGCGGGUGAAAAGCCCGCUCGCCGGAAGACCAAGGGUUCCUGUCCAACGUUAAUCGGGGCAGGGUGAGUCGACCCCUAAGGCGAGGCCGAAAGGCGUAGUCGAUGGGAAACAGGUUAAUAUUCCUGUACUUGGUGUUACUGCGAAGGGGGGACGGAGAAGGCUAUGUUAGCCGGGCGACGGUUGUCCCGGUUUAAGCAUGUAGGCUGAUUGUCCAGGCAAAUCCGGAUAAUCAAGGCUGAGGUGUGAUGACGAGGCACUACGGUGCUGAAGUAACAAAUGCCCUGCUUCCAGGAAAAGCCUCUAAGCAUCAGGUAACAUUAAAUCGUACCCCAAACCGACACAGGUGGUCAGGUAGAGAAUACCAAGGCGCUUGAGAGAACUCGGGUGAAGGAACUAGGCAAAAUGGUGCCGUAACUUCGGGAGAAGGCACGCUGGUGUGUAGGUGAAGCCCCUGCGGGUGGAGCUGAGACCAGUCGAAGAUACCAGCUGGCUGCAACUGUUUAUUAAAAACACAGCACUGUGCAAACACGAAAGUGGACGUAUACGGUGUGACGCCUGCCCGGUGCCGGAAGGUUAAUUGAUGGGGUUAUCCGUAAGGAGAAGCUCUUGAUCGAAGCCCCGGUAAACGGCGGCCGUAACUAUAACGGUCCUAAGGUAGCGAAAUUCCUUGUCGGGUAAGUUCCGACCUGCACGAAUGGCGUAAUGAUGGCCAGGCUGUCUCCACCCGAGACUCAGUGAAAUUGAACUCGCUGUGAAGAUGCAGUGUACCCGCGGCAAGACGGAAAGACCCCGUGAACCUUUACUAUAGCUUGACACUGAACAUUGAGCCUUGAUGUGUAGGAUAGGUGGGAGGCUUUGAAGCGUGGACGCCAGUCUGCGUGGAGCCAACCUUGAAAUACCACCCUUUAAUGUUUGAUGUUCUAACGUUGGCCCCUGACCGGGGUUGCGGACAGUGUCUGGUGGGUAGUUUGACUGGGGCGGUCUCCUCCCAAAGCGUAACGGAGGAGCACGAAGGUUAGCUAAUCCUGGUCGGACAUCAGGAGGUUAGUGCAAUGGCAUAAGCUAGCUUGACUGCGAGCGUGACGGCGCGAGCAGGUGCGAAAGCAGGUCAUAGUGAUCCGGUGGUUCUGAAUGGAAGGGCCAUCGCUCAACGGAUAAAAGGUACUCCGGGGAUAACAGGCUGAUACCGCCCAAGAGUUCAUAUCGACGGCGGUGUUUGGCACCUCGAUGUCGGCUCAUCACAUCCUGGGGCUGAAGUAGGUCCCAAGGGUAUGGCUGUUCGCCAUUUAAAGUGGUACGCGAGCUGGGUUUAGAACGUCGUGAGACAGUUCGGUCCCUAUCUGCCGUGGGCGCUGGAGAAUUGAGGGGGGCUGCUCCUAGUACGAGAGGACCGGAGUGGACGCAUCACUGGUGUUCGGGUUGUCAUGCCAAUGGCACUGCCCGGUAGCUAAAUGCGGAAGAGAUAAGUGCUGAAAGCAUCUAAGCACGAAACUUGCCCCGAGAUGAGUUCUCCCUGAGACUUUAAGUCUCCUGAAGGAACGUUAAAGACGAUGACGUUGAUAGGCCGGGUGUGUAAGCGCAGCGAUGCGUUGAGCUAACCGGUACUAAUGAACCGUGAGGCUUAACCUUACAACGCCGAAG